UACGGAGGGUGCAAGCGUUAUCCGGAUUUACUGGGUUUAAAGGGUGUGUAGGCGGGCUUUUAAGUCAGUGGUGAAAUCUCCGGGCUCAACCUGGAAACUGCCAUUGAUACUAUUAGUCUUGAAUUUUGUUGAGGUAGGCGGAAUAAGUCAUGUAGCGGUGAGAUGCAUAGAUAUGACUUAGAACACCAAUUGCGAAGGCAGCUUGCUAAACAAAUAUUGACGCUGAGGCACGAAAGCGUGGGGAUCAAACAGG
rnacentral:rRNA from 1 species